rnacentral:lncRNA from 1 species
AUUUUAUCAAGUAUCAUAGUAGUUAGAAGAAUUAUUCAUAGUGAACUAGAGAGGGAAAUUGGUGAGAUAUAAUUGAGGAAAUCAAAAAAAGUUACACCAGGAAGUAAGCAAUGUAAGAGGCUGAAUCUUUGGCCCCUCCCCUCUCCACUUCCUGUCCUUCCUUCACCAAUCAACUAAUGGAGGGUUUUAUUCACAGAUCAGCUUCUAUGAUGUUCUGGAUGGUUUAUUAGGAAUAUGCAGACAACCUUUAUUUUAUUAAGGUUCCAUUCCCCACCUUAAAUCUGCUGUAAGCAUAUUCAGUUUUGCCAGGUCAGGAUCUGCUUAUCCAUAUCUAAAUGAUCCUCAAGAUCUUGGUGAUCAUUUUCCUCAUCUCUGCAUACAUGAAUAUAGAAGAGGCAGUUAUGUGACACAAGGAAUAGUGUGCUGGUCUGGAUUCAAGAACAACUAAAAUCAAAUCCAGACUCGGAUACUUACUACCUGUGUCAUCCUAGGCAAGUCCCUAACCUUCUGUCUGACUUAAAUGAGUUUCCUCAACUGUAAAACAGAUAAUACUUGUACUUGCCUCACAGAGCUAUUAUAAGGAUCAAACAAGAUAAUAUUUACAAAUCAUUUAGCACAAUUCUUGAAACAUAGUAAAUGAUUAAUUAAUGUUUAUUUCAUUCUUCAUUUCUUUCUUGCUCAUCUUCCUAAUCUUGUA